GGACUACUGAGUCAUUUCAUUGGCGCCCCCGCGCACGGUCUGGAGCAGGACGGCAGUGCGUGAUCAACGAGUGGUGACCAAUCAGAGUACGCGAGGGUGCACGUGCACAGGCCGAUUAUUGGCUGGGGCAAGGCACGGUCCUGGGGCCCUGACCAAUAGAGAGGCGUUGCGCCCAUGUGGACAGCUAGUGGGAAACAAUAUUUGUUAGGGAGGGGGCGGAAACAGGAAUCUCCGGCUUGCGGCGUGUCAGCCGUUCCCAUGGUUACACGUGGAGGCGGGGUUUCUAGUAGCCUGGGCUUAAGGGGAUUCGUACUGGAACGUGAGGUGGUGCCUGUAAAGGCUUUGUGGUUCUGAUUAGGAUAUCAGAGGUGUGUAAACUUUUCCUGGAAAAGGCCAAAUGCUUCCCCCACAGGAAUCUCCUGAACAAACUAUGUGAAUAAGAUGGCAUCUACAAGAAGAUCACCAGGAGUGGACAAGCCUGCACAUGAUGGGGAUUACGACAACCCUGACCCCCAUCUCAGUGAUUAACUGAGAUUCUUUCCUUGUUUCCCUUUAAAAAAUUUCAAGGCCAGGCAGAAUCUUUGCAGGCUGUUUCUGAGGGACGCUGAGUCUGCCGUCUCCCCAGAUUGCUGGCAUUCUGAUUAAAGACACCUUUCCUUUCUACCAUUUGUAUUGAUUUUGUAAGUGACUAGCAUUGAGACCCCCUAUUCAAUAACAAUAAUUUAAACUUACAACAUCUAUAAUUAUGCAUAAGUUAUCUAUAAUGUUUCUUUUGCAUUCCUAAUUUCGCUAAUUCAUGAUCUCUCUGUUUUUCCUUGAUUAGUCUUGCUGGAGAUUUAUAAAUAGUACUCAUCUUUUUAAGAAACUUGAUUUCAGUUUUGU
ensembl:lncRNA